GGGCCCGCACAAGCGGUGGAGCAUGUGGUUUAAUUCGAUGAUACGCGAGGAACCUUACCAGGGCUUAAAUGUAAGUCGCAUUAGUUAGAGAUAAUCUAUUUCUUCGGACCACUUACAAGGUGCUGCAUGGUUGUCGUCAGCUCGUGCCGUGAGGUGUCAGGUUAAGUCCUAUAACGAGCGCAACCCCUGUUGUUAGUUGCCAGCGAUUCAAGUCGGGAACUCUAACAAGACUGCCGGUGCAAACCGUGAGGAAGGUGGGGAUGACGUCAAAUCAUCACGGCCCUUACGUCCUGGCCUACACACGUGCUACAAUGGUAGGGACAGAGAGCAGCCACUACGCGAGUAGGAGCGAA
rnacentral:rRNA from 1 species